AUUUCUAUAGUUUAUAAAAAUGUUAAAUUGCAAGUUUAGAGAUAAUAUUAAAAGUGAUUUAGAAAUU
rnacentral:tRNA from 1 species